AGAGCUGUCGUGCAAUUUUCUGGUCCAGCAGUAGGGCAUGUCUUCUUUUUGGCACACAGGUGAUCAUGGGAAGUGCCUCCGUGCUGACUCUGAGCAUCCCAGUCAGUGUCGCUGUCAGCAAGAGGUUCUCCUUCUGCACAGACAUCUGCCUGCUGGAGACAGACACUGUGGAUAAUGUGUUCCAUGUGGGUGAGAAGCUGAAGGAAAACAGGAAUACUUUUGUAGGGAUCCCCACCAAGAUUAACUGUUGGAGCUCCCUUUCUUCAGAACAGAAGGAUGUUCGAUCUGAGGACCUUAGAUUACCUCUCUCUCAGAUGACUGAUGGGCUAAAGAGUGUGGCACCUCUUUGUGGAAAUGAGCCCCCAUUUUUUGUUCCACAACUUACUCUGUGACUUGCAGAGCCAUCCAGUUUGUGCCUGAAUGCAGACAGAUAAUUUUGUAAAUUAUGGCUGAAUAUAUACCUACCUAUGUACAGUAAAUUGUCCUGUAACAUACAGGGGUGUGUGUCUGUGCAUGCGUGCGUGUCUGUGUGUGUGUGUGAGAGAGAGAAAGAGGUGUGUGUGUGUGUGUGUGUAUGUGUGAGAGAGAGAGAGAUGCAUCCAUACAAAUUACAAAAUUUAAAGUGUUUAAGGACACAUUGCUGAUGGCGACUGAAUUGCACUUGUGCGUGCACAGAGAGAAUUUCUCUCUGUGUGUGUGUGCAUGUGCACACACACACACAAGUGCAAUUCAGUUGCCAUCAGCAGUGUGUCCUUAAACACUUUAAAAUUUGUAAUUUGUGUGGAUGCAUCUGUAUCCACCACUAUAACCAGAGGCACAGACAGGCCUGGAAGGCCAGGAUUGACUUUUAUCAGUAUAGUUUGAUAUCCCAUCUGCAAACUUAUCUGGACAGAGAUAGUCUUGACACAAUUACUCUCAGCCUGAUAACAUCCCACUUGUAUGUGCAGGGCUACCUUUGAAAAUGGUCUGGAAAUCCGUAGCCCCAAGAUUGCUAACUAAGAUUGGUCAAUGUGACCCUAUUAUACCACCGGUUGUCAAUUUCUUUCUGGCAUACAGUAAUUCCAAGUACUGCUAUUGAU
rnacentral:lncRNA from 1 species